AGAGUUUGAUCCUGGCUCAGAACGAACGCUGGCGGCGUGCCUAACACAUGCAAGUCGUACGAGAAAAUCCGCUUCGGCGGGUGAGUAAAGUGGCGCACGGGUGAGUAACGCGUGGAUAAUCUGCCUUUAAGCGGGGAAUAACUUACCGAAAGGUGGGCUAAUACCCCAUAAAGCUAUGGAGCUCCGGUUUUCAUAGCCAAAGAGAGCCUCUGCAUGCAAGCCCUCACUUAGAGAUGAGUCCGCGUACCAUUAGCUAGUUGGUGGGGUAAGGGCCUACCAAGGCGACGAUGGUUAGCUGGUCUGAGAGGAUGAUCAGCCACACUGGAAAUGAGACACGGUCCAGACUCCUACGGGAGGCAGCAGUGAGGAAUAUUGCGCAAUGGGGGCAACCCUGACGCAGCAAUGCCGCGUGAGUGAGGAAGGUUUUCGGAUCGUAAAGCUCUGUCGGGUGGGAAGAAAUGUAUGGAGGUUAACAGCCUUUGUACUUGACGGUACCGCCAAAGGAAGCACCGGCUAACUCCGUGCCAGCAGCCGCGGUAAUACGGGGGGUGCUAGCGUUGUUCGGAACCAUUGGGCGUAAAGAGCGUGUAGGCGGCUAGGCAAGUCAGAUGUGAAAUCCCUGGGCUUAACCCAGGACGUGCAUUUGAAACUGCUUGGCUUGAGUAGGGAAGAGGGAAGUGGAAUUCCUGGUGUAGAGGUGAAAUUCGUAGAUAUCAGGAGGAACACCGGUGGCGAAGGCGACUUCCUGGUCCUAUACUGACGCUGAGACGCGAGAGCGUGGGGAGCAAACAGGAUUAGAUCCCCUGGUAGUCCACGCCGUAA
rnacentral:rRNA from 1 species